UACGUAGGGGGCUAGCGUUGUCCGGAUUUAUUGGGCGUAAAGAGCGUGUAGGCGGCCAGGUAGGUCUGCUGUGAAAACUCGAGGCUCAACCUCGAGACGUCGGCGGAAACCAUCUGGCUAGAGUCCGGAAGAGGAGAGUGGAAUUCCUGGUGUAGCGGUGAAAUGCGUAGAUAUUGGGAGGAACACCGGUGGCGAAGGCGGCCCCCUGGACCGGUACUGACGCUGAGGCGCGAAAGCGUGGGUAGCAAACAGG
rnacentral:rRNA from 1 species